GUCUCCUUCCUUAUCCCGUCCAACUACUUCAACAGAAGGGCAACUUCUCCGCUCCUAUUUUUGUGAAAAUCCAUCUUCUUCAGGAAUACACAAUAAAUUGAAGAGACUCAUCCCAGGCUCAAUCGAAGCCAUCACCCAUUACAAAUUACAUAUUUAGGUCUAAUGGUUCAUAUUAACAGAACGUUUAUGCAAGUGGUGGUGGUUGAAACAAUGACAUCGCUGCACUAUCAUGUCAAGUAGGUAGAACCAGGUAAGAGUCCUAACACGCAUUAUGUUUUCUAGCCCUAAGUUGAUAUGUAUUUUUUAAAGUUUCGUUUCGAUUUUGGGUUCUUUCACUUUUCGAUUUUCUGUAGUGGCUGAAGAUACAUCUUCAUCUCUCUCGCUGUAAUCUCCAUUAAAAACCCUAGCUUAGAGCUCUCAGAGCUCCCCUGUUCCCUUACCAAGAAAUGUUUUGAGCCAGCGACAACAUUCCUCCAUCUCUCUCUGUAAAAAAGCCCUAAGAGCCACCACCACAAUUAAAUAAACAAACAACGACGUUGAUGAUCCCAGUCUUAUUGAAAAAGGUAAUGUCUUUCAUUAAUUUCUGCAAUUAAAUAAGCAAAUAAUGAUGUUAUGUUGCAACAAGAAACUUGAAGGAUUGUAUUGCCAAAAUGGAACCAUUUGGUAUGCUUUUUCAUAUUGUUCUUCCAAAAUAGUUGCCCUCAAGAAUGCGUAUAUUGGUCUAAUUCUUUCAUUUUGUUCUUUAAUCAUUUACUCUAUUUUCUUUGAAACACCAGUUAUUUUUGUUAUGUUGAUUCCUAAGUUGAAAUUUUUAUGUUUCCAAGGUUAAGAUCAGAAUUCAUGCUUUCAAACUAUUGGGUUUUAGGAAGAAAUGAUUCAUUAAAUUUGAAUUUGAGAGAAGGUUAAUUAUUUGAUAUUAUGUAGCCUCUUCAUAUCCAGAUCAUGGAAAAUGAACCCAAGGAUUCCACUACAGAGGAGUCACAACAAGAUAAUAUUUUUUUGCUCUCUUGAACUUCAUUCGGAUAAAUUGUAUUAUUUACUGAAAUUUAUGUAGUUUAUUACCAACCACUGAAGUACAUAUAUUCACCCAAAGAUUCAGGGGUUUUCAUCCUUUUUUAUUUGUUCUCAGGUCAUAGCAGUCAAGACUGGCAUGGUUACAAUUGUAGACCUUCCAACCUGUUGAGGUAUUCUAGGACUAGAUCAAAGUUUUUUUCCAGGUAGUCAACCCAAUUGAUGAUUUCCUAUACCGUUCCAAAAAACAACAAAUAUUUUAACACAUCAACAACUACAACAAUGUCAUAGAAUUGUUGAAGGUUAGGAGCAGCAACAUGUUUAAGAAUAAUCCAAUUUUAAUUCCAUUCAGGAUGGUAUUUAGAAAGUCAUUUGUUAAAGGGUUUUAGUGUUGUUAAUUGAAGGUGCAUAAAAAGGAGCUUGAAAGGUAUGAUGAGGCUCCUAAAUCGGUUCUUGGGUUCUGGAGGUGCAUUUAGUUUCUUAGUUUCUAUUUGGUUAUUUGUUAAAAUGAUAUUCCAUUUAACUAUAUUGUAUUUGUGUAUGAUAAAAACAUGUGUUAGUAAGGACAAAUAAUAUAAAAAGGCCAUAUAACCUUCCAAUUA